AUGCUGUUUUCUUUCUCUGAAUAUGUAUGUGUGUAUGUGUGUGUGUGUAAUACAUACUCACAUACAUACACACUCACAUACCAGAACA
rnacentral:miRNA from 1 species